UACGUAGGGUGCGAGCGUUGUCCGGAAUCAUUGGGCGUAAAGCGCGUGUAGGCGGCCCGGUAAGUCCGCUGUGAAAGUCCAAGGGCUCAACCCCUGGGAUGCCGGUGGAUACUGUCGGGCUCGAGUCCGGAAGAGGCGGAGUGGAAUUCCGGGUGUAGCGGUGGAAUGCGUAGAGAUCCAGAAGAACACCGGUGGCGAAGGCGGUCUGCGUGGGCAGUGGACCCGUGAGGGUCCAGUAGCCGACGACUGAUGCGCGACAGCGUGGGGAGCAAACAGGAUUAGACUACCCUGGU
rnacentral:rRNA from 1 species